rnacentral:ncRNA from 1 species
GGCGCGUGACUUGCUAGGAACACACAGAGCAGUCAACGCUGAUUGCCCAUUCACGACAAAGGCGCCGU